UGACGUGGAUGCUAGUUCCUGAGGUUAAGCCAUGCAUGCCCAUGAAGCGACACGGUUGCGGAUUGGCGGACGGCUCAGUAAGACUGCGAUGAUUUGAUCGAUUGCGAGCCGUAACUACGGGAAACUGUAGGUAGGGGGGGUAGGAUACUGCGCGGCGGUAUGUGUGUCGAGUAAGUUGCAGGCCCAUCAACUGGUAGGUAGGGUAAUGGCCUAACUAGGUUGCGACGGGAGACGGGGGAUCGGGGUUUGAUUCCGGAGAGGGAGCCUGAGAGACGGCUACUACGUCCAAGGAUGGCAGCAGGCGCGAAACUUGCCCAAUCCUUUGGUUGGGAGGCAGUUAUGGGACGUGAGGAAUGGCGAUUUGCAAAGAGAAUUGCCGGUAUCGGAGGGCAAGUCGGGUGCCAGCAGCCGCGGUAAUACCUGCUCCGAUAGUGUCUAUGGUGAAUGCUGCAGUUAAAAAGUCCGUAGUCGAGAUGUGCAGUAUGUCUGGGGGGCCUGUGUUUGUUGCGGGCUGUGGACGUAUGUGGGUUUGACGCAGCGGACGGGGCGCACUGGAUAGUUGGGCGAGAGGUGAAAUGUGAGGACCCUGACUGGACGGACGGAGGCGAAGGCGGUGCGCUUGGACGAGUGUGUGGAUCAAGGACGAAGGCUGGAGGAUCGAAAUCGAUUAGAGACCGUUUUAGUUCCAGCAGUAAACGAUGCCGACUGGACGGCGCGGGAGCGCUGUGGGAGAGAAAUCGGUUAGUGUGUGGGCUCUGGGGAUAGUAUGUUCGCAAGGAUGAAACUUAAAGAGAUUGACGGAAGGACACCACAAGGAGUGGAGUGUGCGGCUUAAUUUGACUCAACGCGGGGCAACUUACCAGUGCCAAGCGCCUCUGGGAUUGAGUACAUGAGGGGCGCGGUGGUGGUGCAUGGCCGUUUCAAAUGGAUGGCGUGAGCUGUAGAUUAAGUUCUGCAAGACGUGAGACCCUGUGGACGGUGCCCCUGGGGCAAGGAGGGGCAGGAAAACAACAGGUCCGUUAUGCCCUAAGAUGCACUGGGCUGCACGCGCACUACGAUAUCUGCCUGCGGCACGAUGUGGGGGAUCAACGGUUGUAAAUCUGUUGUGAACGUGGAAUUCCUAGUAAGGGCCGUUCAUCAGGCGGGCUUGNANGUGUCCCUGUCCUUUGUACACACCGCCCGUCGCUAUCUAAGAUGAUAUGUUGGACGAAGAUUGGGAGAUCUGAGUCCUGUGUAUUAGAUAAGAUAUAAGUCGUAACAUGGCUGCUGUUGGAGAACCAUUAGCAGGAUCAUAA
rnacentral:rRNA from 1 species